rnacentral:rRNA from 1 species
UACAGAGGGUGCAAGCGUUAAUCGGAAUUACUGGGCGUAAAGCGCGCGUAGGUGGUUUGUUAAGUUGAAUGUGAAAUCCCCGGGCUCAACCUGGGAACUGCAUCCAAAACUGGCAAGCUAGAGUAGGGCAGAGGGUGGUGGAAUUUCCUGUGUAGCGGUGAAAUGCGUAGAUAUAGGAAGGAACACCAGUGGCGAAGGCGACCACCUGGGCUCAUACUGACACUGAGGUGCGAAAGCUAGGGGAGCAAACAGG